rnacentral:rRNA from 1 species
CCAACAGGGAUUGCUCUAGUAACGGCGAGUGAAGCAGCAAUAGCUCAAAUUUGAAAUCUGGCGUCUUCGGCGUCCGAGUUGUAAUUUGUAGAGGAUGCUUCUGGGCAGCCACCGACCUAAGUUCCUUGGAACAGGACGUCAUAGAGGGUGAGAAUCCCGUAUGCGGUCGGAAAGGCACCCUACACGUAGCUCCUUCGACGAGUCGAGUUGUUUGGGAAUGCAGCUCUAAAUGGGAGGUAAAUUUCUUCUAAAGCUAAAUAUUGGCCAGAGACCGAUAGCGCACAAGUAGAGUGAUNGAAAGAUGAAAAGCACUUUGGAAAGAGAGUUAAAAAGCACGUGAAAUUGUUGAAAGGGAAGGGAUUGCAACCAGACUUGCUCGCGGUGUUCCGCCGGUCUUCUGACCGGUUCACUCGCCGCGUUGCAGGCCAGCAUCGUCUGGUGCCGCUGGAUAAGACUGGAGGAAUGUAGCUCCCUCGGGAGUGUUGUAGCCUCUAGUGAUGCAGCGAGCGCCGGGCGAGGUCCGCGCUUCGGCUAGGAUGCUGGCGUAAUGGUCGUAAUCCGCCC